rnacentral:rRNA from 1 species
UUCUAUUAGAAAUAAUUAAUAGUAUAAUCUGCUCAAUGAUAUUCAAUAGCCGCUAUUACUGUGCUAAGGUAGCAUAAUCAUUUGUCUUUUAAUUGAAGACUAGAACAAAAGAUUUAACAAUUCAAUCAAUAUACAAAAUUAAAAAAACAAAUUUAUUUUAAAUGUAAAAAAACAUUUAUAAUAAAGAAAGACGACAAGACCCUAUUAAACUUAACUAUAGUUUUACUGGGGCAGUUAAUAAAUUAUUACUUUAAUUUAAAUAUAAAUAAAAAAGAUCCAACAAUGUUGAUUAUAUGAUCAAGCUACUAUAGGGAUAACAGCGUAAUAUUUAUCUAAAGAUCUCAUUAAAAUAAAAGAUUGCGACCUCGAUGUUGAAUUAAUAACCUAAAUUAUUGCAACAAAUAAUAAAGGAAGUCUGUUCGACUUUUAAAAAAUUACA